rnacentral:rRNA from 1 species
GAUGAACGCUGGCGGCGUGCUUAACACAUGCAAGUCGAACGAAGCACCUUAUGCUGAUUUCUUCGGAAUGAAAAAUUUGGUGACUGAGUGGCGGACGGGUGAGUAACGCGUGGGUAACCUGCCUCAUACAGGGGGAUAACAGUUAGAAAUGACUGCUAAUACCGCAUAAGACCACAGCACCGCAUGGUGCAGGGGUAAAAACUCCGGUGGUAUGAGAUGGACCCGCGUCUGAUUAGGUAGUUGGUGGGGUAACGGCCUACCAAGCCGACGAUCAGUAGCCGACCUGAGAGGGUGACAGGCCACAUUGGGACUGAGACACGGCCCAACCUCCUACGGGAGGCAGCAGUGGGGAAUAUUGCACAAUGGGGGAAACCCUGAUACAGCGACGCCGCGUGAGCGAUGAAGUAUUUCGGUAUGUAAAGCUCUAUCAGCAGGGAAGAAAAUGACGGUACCUGACUAAGAAGCACCGGCUAAAUACGUGCCAGCAGCCGCGGUAA